GCUAAAUUAGCUCAGUUGGUAGAGCAACUGAUUCGUAAUCAGUAGGUCGGGGGUUCGACUCCCCCAUUUAGCUCCA
rnacentral:tRNA from 1 species